rnacentral:rRNA from 1 species
GAAAUGCGAUAAGUAAUGUGAAUUGCAGAAUUCAGUGAAUCAUCGAAUCUUUGAACGCACCUUGCGCUCCCUGGUAUUCCGGGGAGCACGCCUGUUCGAGUGUCGUGAAAUCCUCAAGCUUGGGUGCUUUUUCAUCUUAAGCUUGGUAAUUGGGCUCUGCUGGUCCUUUCAUUGGAACAGCUGGCCUUAAAAUCAUUAGCUGAUCCUCAUGUUGUGGCGUUGGUUUUACUCAGCGUGAUAAUGAAUCUGACCGCUGGGGACAUCUUUCGGGAUGGCCAAUUCUCAUCUUGGGUUGCUUCUAAUUUGGCUUUUACGCAUAUUCUUUUUUGACCUCGAAUCAGGCGGGACUACCCGCUGAACUUAAGCAUAUCAAUAAGCGGAGGAAAAGAAACUAACAAGGAUUCCCCUAGUAACCUGAAACUGCC